ensembl:processed_transcript
CUUGAAGCUUGGCGUAAUUGCAAUAAUAGAGGCUUCAGUGACACACUGAUAGGAGUCCGGCUUUCUACAGGAAUAUCCUCCCCAUUGGCUCGACGUACACGUUAAAAGGGAAUUGCACUUUCCCAGGUUAUUCCAAGCCUGAAGAAAGGAAUGUAGAGCACACGGCAUGACACUGAGCUGUGACAGACUCAAGUGACUGUAAGUACACCACUGAUUUAACCUUAUUAUUGCCUAUAAAAGAAAUAUAAGAAAUGUGAAUUUGUAGUGCAUGAAAUGUAUAGAAUAGCCUAAAAAUGUCUAUAUUCUCAUGAAGUACCUGACAAAAGAGAAAAAAAAAAGGUGAAAGGCAUACAGACAGAGCAAACAACAUAAGUAAAUAUUAUAAUGUGGGAGGCUACAAGCUUUUGUCCACGAACACUUUUCAUUUUUUUGUUCUCCCAGAAGUCCUCUUUUCAUAACCUGUAAUUUUAGCCUUAUAGACAGCAGAUGCUUCACUGUCCUCUCGCUUGUGUGACUCCAAAAGUUUAUUGUCAGUGUGGGCUCACCUGGUACAAAAGCAUACGAGCACAUGCUGAAUGGAACAGAAACCUGGGGGGAGGGUUUACAAAAACAACUAACAUCAGAAAUAGAACAUGAUAAAUAUUGCAAGUUAGUCAUGCCUGAAAUGAUUGUUAUUAAUAGCCCACUCAUUUUGCACUUUGCACACGAGUCAUGUCAAUUAUUUCUUACACUCGCUACGUAAGAGUCAUUUCAAAGAGGAUUUAGAACAAAAGCGUACUUUGUUGUUUAGCUUACUCAUUUAGUUCUUUAAAAAUGCAUGUCUCGGCUGAUUUGAAUCUACUCGUGGGUUCUGUUUGAAUAUUCAAAUAAAUUUAG